rnacentral:rRNA from 1 species
AUUGAACGCUGGCGGCAGGCCUAACACAUGCAAGUCGAGCGGAUGAAGGUAGCUUGCUACCUGAUUCAGCGGCGGACGGGUGAGUAAUGCCUAGGAAUCUGCCUGGUAGUGGGGGACAACGUUUCGAACGGAACGCUAAUACCGCAUACGUCCUACGGGAGAAAGUGGGGGAUCUUCGGACCUCACGCUAUCAGAUGAGCCUAGGUACGAUUAGCUAGUUGGUGAGGUAAAGGCUCACCAAGGCGACGAUCGUUAACUGGUCUGAGAGGAUGAUCAGUCACACUGGAACUGAGACACGGUCCAGACUCCUACGGGAGGCAGCAGUGGGGAAUAUUGGACAAUGGGCGAAAGCCUGAUCCAGCCAUGCCGCGUGUGUGAAGAAGGUCUUCGGAUUGUAAAGCGCUUUAAGUUGGGAGGAAGGGCAGUAAGUUAAUACCUUGCUGUUUUGACGUUACCGACAGAAUAAGCACCGGCUAACUUCGUGCCAGCCGCCGCCGUAAAAC